ACUGUUAAAAGAAUCUUCCUGCUCAGUCAAUGCCAGAGUUCGUUUGGGUCCCUGGGAGCCUGUAUGUAUAUUACAGUCAUGGAUUGAUUAGGCCCUGUACACAGAUCUCUGAAUCACGCUGAGAUAACUAUUACAUAAGUUGGUUUUUAAUGGAAAAAAAAAUCACUAGAAAUCUGUCAUGGUUCUUUAGCUAACAAAAAACAAAACAAAAACAAACAAAACACCAACACACAAACAAACAAAAACCCCCACAAAAAAACCCCACCACUAAAACCCAAAAAACUCACAUCCAAAACCCCUCUCCAAAAAAAAUCUCACAAAAAACCCAACCAGCCAAACAAAACAAAAAAAAAUGGACGGAAGGCACUACGGCAAAGUCUCAUUAGUUACCGAUGGUUGCUGAAGAGCCUUUAUGAAAAGAAAUGAGACCAAGGAAAGAGUCAUAACAAAAACAAAGAGCUGUUUGGGAAAAUAUUUCUCAUGAAUGCAUGAAAUUCAGUAUAAUGAGCAAAGAGACAAAUACAAAACAUUGACAACUUCCCAUUACAUGCAAGAGAUGAAAGCACAAAUGUCUCUACAGACAGCAACAAAGAACAUUUUAUCACAGUCUGCUUUUGGAUAUGAAUGGCCACAAAAUGAUUGCAUAAGGCACUCCACAAUUUACACCACUGAUGGCAUAACUGACUUACUAAUAGGAUAAAAGGAAUCUGCUUUCACACGUCCAAAUAACAAGCAAAACCUUCAACAAAAUGACUACCUUUCUAACUGCAUCUGUUUCCUACUGGUGACCAACACAGCAACAGGUCUGUUACUUGAGUAAUUUGUUCAUGCUUGGGUGAGUGGAAGACACAAACAGGAGAGGGAAAAUGCAGAGAUCUGGUAAAUUCCAGUUACUGUUUAGCAUUGAACAUCGCUGCUCCAAUUCUGAUUCCACAUCUUCAGGUUUUACAAAAGGCUGUCCAAGAAUUUUUCUCAGAAACAACACAUGGAACAUAACUUUAGAUGUUUUAGCAGAUAAAUUAGCCCAUAUUCACAGGAUAGCUUCAAGGGUAUGAGGCAGCAAAAGCCUGUGACUGGACUUUGCACCUAACAACCAAACUGAGAAGCUGCUAGAAUGCCACGUCAGUGAACAGAACUGCUGCCAUCACAAACUCCAAUGUCAGAAACCACAGAACUUUUACCACCCCAUCCCUAUCUCCAGUGGAGAGGGCAUCUCUGGACCUGCUGGGAAGAUAGAGACGGGAAGCACAGUACAAGAGAUGUUUUUUAUGACAAGACAAAUCCUCCACCCAAACUACCUUGAAAAAUCAACAAUUAGCAGGCAGCUUGGUGUGCUCCCAGCACAUACCUGGGAUGCCAGGCUAAACCACAUAAGCCUUCUGGCCAAGCACAGCAGGUCAAAAUUAGCAGGCAGCCCACACUGGGGGCACCCAGGGGCAGAGGCUGAGACAACCUCAAGGCAGGAAGAUCAGUGUACAGGUGCUGAACAGAACAGUUUCGCCUCCUAAGUGAGUAGCUCAAUUGCACUUGCUCAACUAACUGGCAACCACCAUCAUCUUUUCCUGAUGUACAUGUGACCUCAUUUUUGGUAUAAUUUAUGCAGCUGUUAUUGUCUCUGUGUAUUUUAAUAUAUGAAAAUAUAGACAGAGGUUUAUAUAAAAAUAUACAUUAAAAAUGACAAAGUUUUUUUAAAAAAAGAUGGAGACAAAUAAAACCAGUAUUUCUUUUCACAGGGUUACUGAGUUCCACUUUUCUUGGGGUUUUUUUUUUAAUAAUAAGCAUUAUUCAAUUGCAACCUCUUAAUUUACAGAAACAUUUCUGCAUUUGUAUCAUCACAGCUGAAGAGGCACAGUGUUAGAUGCCAGAAUGAGAGUUGAUAAUACUUCUGCUUUCCUUUAUAAUCCCAUGAAAAUUCAUAUAGAAAUUUAUAGCAAACUUUCA